rnacentral:lncRNA from 1 species
CGUGCCCAGGCACGGUGCGGAAGCCGAGGAUCACCGUCCACAACGCCUUGCCCCCUCCGAGCCCUAGACGCGCCCUAUAAGAGCCAAGCUGCCGCCGCCCAGCUCUCCCAGGCCGCCGCCGCUCCCUGCUCCAUCCCCGGCCACCUUGCUCGCCCGCCCGUCCCCGCGUCCGAGUCACCAUAGCAACUCCAGCCUCGGCAAGCUCUGCUCCAAGCCAUGGACGCCUCCGAGCCCCUACCUCGACGACAUCGAGAGGUGCUGUGAACCUGAGCGCCGAGCACCACCCCAUCUACAGCCUCGCCGAGCACGACGUCGAGCCCCUACGCAUCCGCGCCCUCGACUUCGCCGUGCCCAAGACGCCGUGCGCCCUCGCCCUCGACCCCGGGAACUCGCCACGACGCCGAGCAGGAGCUUCGCCGAGCCCCUUGCUGACCCCGACGCCGAGCACCUUGAAGCCCCGACGCGGCGACGCCGGAGCCGCGACGCCGACUUCGGCGAGUCCUACUCCGUCAAGCUCUGCAUCGCCCAUGUCCCGAACCUCGCCAGGAGCCGCGGACCCCUUCUUCAUCGAGCAGCAGCAGGGCAGCGACCCCGACCUCGCCUCGACCACGCGCGUCGCGCAGCCACCUAGCACCGAGCACCACCCCGACGUCGCCCGAGCCCUUGUCCACGUGCUCGCCGCGGUCACCACCCCGGCAGCAGCGUGGUGACCGCGACGUCGUCACCCUGGCCGUGCGACGCUGGACGCGGUGACCACGGUCACCCUGCUACCUCGUCCUCGCGCCGUUCAUCACCGAAUCACCACGAUCGUGACCCGAAGCCCGUCAACUGCAAGGUCGAACCUUUUGAA